UGGAGCUUUCCCCCGCGCGCGCGCUAACACACAUAAUUUUCACGGGCUAUAGCGCCGCUCAGUGGAUUUAUCUUAUUCCUCUAUGUUCAGUUAUAUAGUUUAUUGGGACCUUGGAGAACAAACAGAAACGUCCUGUCCUUUGCCCGGUUCUUUUCUUGGUUGAAUGUCCGCAUUUGUAAUUGUCAUUAUGUCUAGUAACUAUAAUGACCCGCGCAACUGUCAUUACGCGUGAUGUUUACGCCAAACGCGGUCCACGCGGUGUUUACUGACGUGUACUCACCAACACUGCUGGAUGCAAGAAUUAUUGUUGAAAAAUGAGUGUGUAACGCGUGACCCCUCAUUUCCCACCUCGCUGACACCCUCUUUUCUGCAUCUGAGCCUCAUCUUGCAGGAGAGGCAAUCCAAGCUUUUGCUAACUGCAGAUAUCGAAGAGGAAUCUUAAACGGGAGAAAUUCUAGUUAAAAAGAGCAAGAUGGAGAACUAUUGAUCCCUUAUCCCAAAGGUGUCCACCGUAUGCAGAUGUCCCAAAGGUGCACCAGAGAAGGGUCUUGAGACUGUCAGGGUGGUGGCCGAGCACUGCAUCCACAUUGUUGGAGCAGAGCUCCAUCUUCAGGUGCCAGACUGGAGCAGAUAAAAGAGCCCUCCAGCACACAAACACAUGUGAACAUCCUUUAUGAGAUUACAUUCGAACCUCAGAUGCUGCCCAACACACAGAGAUUAUAUCAUAUAUGGCAGACGUCCACCUUUGUCAUCUCACUGAGGCAAGUUUGUUCUCUUCCGUUAUUGUCAUCAGUGCGUACUUGCCCUCCGUAAGUGGAUGUAUCCAAAUGACAAUGCAUCAAACUUUAAUCACUCUUAAAAGUAUAAUUCACCCAAAAAUGAAAACUCUGUCUGCUUUUGCUCAAACCGAGUGUUUUUUUUUAAAAAUGCGAUGGAAGUCAAAGGUCACCAAAACUGUUUGGUUACCAACACAUAAUUAUAAUAGUUCAUUAUCUCUAUCGCCCACCAUUUAUUUUAAAGGCUCUCUCUCGUCAUUGUUGCCUGAUGAUUGAAUUGCUUUCGAAAAGGAUAUAUUAAAUUGUAGCUUUUUAUAAUCCAAGUUUUAGCAAAUGGCUAUACUGCAAAAGAUCUUGCACCACCUAUCAUUUUAAUACUCCAUCACACUUAUGUCAAUCUGGCUGCUGACAAAAUGAUUUCUUAAAUAAGUAGUCUUAGGAAAGAGAAAGUCAUUUAUGCCACAGUUCACCAGCCGAUAACUUCAAAAAGAUAAGGGAGUUAUAUAAUGGAGUGAAUUUAAGUCAUAUUAAGAGGAAUAUGCAGAUGAUGGCCAGCCAAAUACGUGUGGUGAUUAAAUGAUUUUAUGAGAUGAA
ensembl:lncRNA